UACGGAGGGUGCAAGCGUUAAUCGGAAUUACUGGGCGUAAAGCGCACGCAGGCGGUCUGUCAAGUCGGAUGUGAAAUCCCCGGGCUCAACCUGGGAACUGCAUUCGAAACUGGCAGGCUAGAGUCUUGUAGAGGGGGGUAGAAUUCCAGGUGUAGCGGUGAAAUGCGUAGAGAUCUGGAGGAAUACCGGUGGCGAAGGCGGCCCCCUGGACAAAGACUGACGCUCAGGUGCGAAAGCGUGGGGAGCAAACAGGAUUAGAUACCCUGGUAGUCCACGCUGUAAACGAUGUCGAUUUGGAGGGUGUGCCCUUGAGGCGUGGCUUCCGGAGCUAACGCGUUAAAGCGACCGCCUGGGGAGUACGGCCGCAAGGUUAAA
rnacentral:rRNA from 1 species